rnacentral:rRNA from 1 species
GAUGAACGCUGGCGGCGUGCCUAAUACAUGCAAGUCGAGCGAACAGACGAGGAGCUUGCUCCUCUGACGUUAGCGGCGGACGGGUGAGUAACACGUGGUUAACCUACCUAUAAGACUGGGAUAACUUCGGGAAACCGGAGCUAAUACCGGAUAAUAUAUUGAACCGCAUGGUUCAAUAGUGAAAGACGGUUUUGCUGUCACUUAUAGAUGGAUCCGCGCCGCAUUAGCUAGUUGGUAAGGUAACGGCUUACCAAGGCAACGAUGCGUAGCCGACCUGAGAGGGUGAUCGGCCACACUUGAACUGAGACACGGUCCAGACUCCUACGGGAGGCAGCAGUAGGGAAUCUUCCGCAAUGGGCGAAAGCCUGACGGAGCAACGCCGCGUGAGUGAUGAAGGUCUUCGGAUCGUAAAACUCUGUUAUUAGGGAAGAACAAAUGUGUAAGUAACUAUGCACGUCUUGACGGUACCUAAUCAGAAAGCCACGGCUAACUACGUG